rnacentral:misc_RNA from 1 species
UCCCCGUUCACCGGGGCAGUCCCCUCAGAGUGCCCGGCAUGACCCGGUAGCAACAAAGGGCAAGGGUUGCGCUCGUUGCGGGACUUAACCCAAUAUCUCACGACGCGAGCUGACGACAACCAUGCACCACCUGUGAACCGGCCCCAAAGGGGAAACCACAUUUCUGCGGCGGUCCGGUCCAUGUCAAGCCUUGGUAAGGUUCUUCGCGUUGCAUCGAAUUAAUCCGCAUGCUCCGCCGCUUGUGCGGGCCCCCGUCAAUUCUUUUGAGUUUUAGCCUUGCGGCCGUACUCCCCAGGCGGAACACUUAUCGCGUUGGCUUCGGCACAGACAGAUUCGACUCCGCCCACACCUAGUGUUCAUCGUUUACGGCGUGGACUAC